GUGGGGAGGUCCUUACUAAUUAGUUAAUUCAUCAAUAAAGUGCAAGGGAAGAGCGAAAAACCCGCAGACACUCUGGCCUCUGUGGAAUGAGUUUUACACCUGCGCUCUAAUCCAAAGAGUAGUCCCAGUGUCGCGAAAUGCAUGUCCCCGAAGCAAGUUUUGGAAAAUGUAGUGCUCAAGCAUUUUAUUCACAAAUAAUUCCAUCACUGCUGUCAGUUUAAAAACUACAACUCCCAACGUCAUUAAUACGGCGGCAAUGUAUUUUCCUGUUCUUGGCGGCCAGUUCAAGUUGACUUAUCAGAGAGGAAUUGUUUGAGUGUAGAAAAUAAAAAAAAAUAGAUAACUGCACAAUUCUUCUUCAGCGCAUGCCUCUGUUUCGAGCUAAAAUCAAGAUCAAGGUCAUGGGGAAGGGAUGCAACCCUCAAACUGUGAGGUCCUGAUGCUGCAGGCAUCUCAGAGAAAAUGAACCCACUGGGAAGCACUACUGCUAAGAGGCCAGAGGCUGGUCCUCUGGAGCCCAUAGGGUGUCAGCCUCCUCCCUGCACACCAGCGACCUGGAGGCUGGCUAUGGAUCAGGUCCACGUCCUGCACCAGUCAUUCAGAGACCUGCACAGUGACCAGCUGAGACUGGGAGAUGACAUGGACAGAGAUCC
rnacentral:lncRNA from 13 species